rnacentral:rRNA from 1 species
GAAGCAGCCAUCCUUGAAAGAGUGCGUAAUAGCUCACUGGUCAAGUGAUUCCGCGCCGACAAUGUAGCGGGGCUCAAGCACACCGCCGAAGUCAUGUCAUUGCAGUACAUACCCCCAACGGGGACUGUGAUGGGUAGGGGAGCGUCGUGUGCCGGGUGAAGCAGCGCCGGAAGGUAGUUGUGGACGGUUCACGAGUGAGAAUGCAGGCAUGAGUAGCGAUACACACGUG